rnacentral:lncRNA from 1 species
AAGACCACGAAGGGGGAGUUUCUUCUUGUAAAAUGCACGCAAAGCCUCCCAAAAAUUCCCGGUGAUUUCAGAUCCAAGAAGGUGGUCAUAUCCAUUGGAGCACCAUUCAAAGUCGAGAACUUUCACUUCGAGUAGUACUGUGGCUCCAACCCUGGAAUCUCAUUGCUGCCCGCGCGCGAAAAAAACCCAUUAACUAUUACAGAUGGAUUAAAAUGUAUCUGACAUCAUUUUCAUAAUCGAUUGUUUUUGUAAGUACAGGGAAGCUUUACAUUUUCGAUUUUAUGAGCAUAUGUCAAACCUGCGAAUUGAUAUACGUAUAUUUAAGAUAUUGAUAUCCAUUCUGCGCAAUGCUUACCUGGACAUUAUGAAGAGCAUUUCGCAUGCUUGGGAAAGAAUAGGACUACAUUGCUGCUAAAUAAUUCUGUUCGCCUCAAUAUUUAACCUCUUGAUAUCGCGCGUGACUAUCGAAAAAACGGAAUCUUGAUAAGUCACCAAGGUACACGCAGCAGCAAUUUAUUUUUUGACAAAAAUAUGAACCGGUUGUGGAUUGCAGUUUUAGUGGUUUUAACCAUUGCAGUUGUACGAAUGUGUGACUGUCGGAAGGACUCAACAGGUGGUGGACAGGAGAUGUGGGAUCAGCUCCGGGCGCGAGCUAGGGGGCAAGGUCACUCCGCAGGGGGAGCGAACGACGCUGACCCCGCCAGACCAUCCAGAGAAAGCUCGCACAGGUCCUCUCACAAUGUAUCGCACUCCGGUCGCGGGGCUCCUGUGAGCUCAUUAUAUCAACGAGAUAACAGGCACGCGACGGUAAUUAAACCAGUUCCAGCUCCCAUUACAGAAGCUUCCCACCCGGCGGACGAUUCCACCGUUGCACAAGAUGCUGCGCGUAGAGCCGCAAGACAGCUCGGCACCCACCACUCAUCACAGUACAGACCCCGAAUAAUUUACAGACAGAGCAACAAACCCAGCUCCACGCACACCAGACGCCUUGCAGGACCUAAUGUAUGUGGAGGUCACCAGUGCUGCUCUGGAUGGGCUGUGGCUUCUGGGACCAACCGCUGUAUAAAGCGUAAGUAUUCAUAUCUGCCUUCAGGUAAACAAUCAUUCAUGACUGUCUCUUGACCAUCUCUC